CCGGCUCCGACUCUGCCACCCCAGGUCCCAUUACAGUGCACUUGCCGACUGGCUGAGGAGGUCCUGCUCUGGGCCAGACCCUGCUGUAAGAAACCAGGACGGGGCAGGAUGGAAGCUUCUGGGGUGUAGGAGUACUUUAGUUUUGAUCCAGGCGGUAGUUACGGGCUGGAUAAGUAAACACGCAUGGAGCUGAAUGCUCAGGAUCUGUGUACGUCACUGUAAGUGAUACCGCCAGUAAGUAAACACACUUGAUUUUACUUUAAUAAUUACUUUAACAGGCAUUCAAUCCCUGCUGAUGAUGUCUAUUAGCCAUUUUAAGGUUCCUGAAAAUAAUGAGAAUAUGCUCUUUACUGGAAACUGAAAUUCCGUGUGCCUGUCCGCCUGGCGGGCAGUUCCACUGGACUGAGGUCACUAUGUGAGGUCACCAUCUGAGCUCAUGUUGGUAACACGCUGCGGCAAAACUGCACCGAGAGGCUGGCCUACACAAUGAUACAGAUUAACCAAUGGCAGAUAAAAAUAGCAGAAUGGCCCUGGGUGCUGGAGGGGCAGGUCCCCGCAAGGUGACCAUUCCCACAGUCUGGAGUCUGAGGUCUGGCAGAAUCCCAGGCACCCAGCCGAGGCGAGGAGAAACUAUGAAAGCCAGGAAGGCUCCCUGCUGGAAGGUUCCCUGCUGGAAGGCUGCAGGACAGAGCAUCCUCUGAGCUCAGAGCCCAGUCCCAGGGGAAGGAUCUCUGCAGGGCUCGUUUGUUGGAUGAGGAAACAGUGGUCCAGAGAAGCUGAGUGUCUGCCCAAGGCCACACAGCAGGGAAGGGACAGGCAGGCUGGGUCUAGAUUGAGGAUGGUCAUACUCAUGGUCCUAUCCUCUUGUCCCCUCCAAAUGUCCCAUGAGGAAGGUGAUAUAGGAUGGCGCAGGGAUAACAGGAUUGAUCCUGCUGUUCUCUGGGGAGAAAGUGGCAUGUUUCAAGGGUAGUGAUGGGGAGCAGAGACGCAGUGGCAGGGACUGCUCCAAGAAGGCCCAUCUGCCUGGUCCUGUGCUUUCUCCACCCAGCUCAGGCCAUGAGGGACCUCCUCUGCUGUGCACCACCCUCAGGCCCUGCUUGUGGUGCUGGAGGUGAGGUGGAGGGAGCCUCGAUUCUCCACCCUAAGGGCAAGUGCUUUCCAGAAAUCUUCAGCUUCUGCUCCUCUGAGACCUGGAGGAGCCAGGGCUCGCCUGCUCUUACUCAGACAUUCUCCCCUUUAUUCUUACCAAUCAGGCAGAGCCAGCUCGGCUCUCAUGACUCCUAGGAAGUGGGUACCAAACAAGGGCCAUGGCCUCCUGGGGCAGACAGCAAAGCUGACCCCAGCCAAGACCCACUGAGUCGGAAACCCCAAGCAGGCCCAGGAGGCUGUGUUCAGUCUCCUGUGGAAUUCCACGGUCAGCCAGGCUCGCAGCCACUGUUCUGCCCGAUGCUUCUCUCCCCUUCAUUCCCCAUCUCUGCCGCCCUUUGCGUGGCCCUUGCUCCUGGCCCCAGCAGGCACUGCGGUGGGGAAGGGUGGAGAGCCACCCCGGCCCCUACCCAGGUGGCAGCUCUCAGGGAGGGCAGGUCUGAGGCUGCUCUGCAGCCUCCCCCAGCAGCAGCUCCAUGCCACACCCCACACUGUCUGCUCAGAAACAAGCAGGCCCUCCCUGGCUCCUGGGGAUUGAACUUGCAUGUAACCAGCCACGGGCCCCUCGGGGCAGGGGAGCAAGAGGCUUUGCAUUGACCAGAAA
rnacentral:lncRNA from 1 species